UCUUGGAGUUCUAGCUCACCUUUCUGGUGUUGUUCUUGUACUCAUCUGUUUAAUCUAGUUCUACCACUUCUUCUUGAACUUCUUAUUAGAUUUCAAGUCUGUAUUUUGUGUCCGUGACAGUUUGUCGAGACUACACUAACUUGAGAUAUCAGAGCUAGUUCUUUCUUAGUAGAGUGUGGAUUACCCAUCUACUUGAAGGUAUACUAGCAUUUUUUAGAGGUUGCGGAUUACCCUCCUCUAAACUGAUAUUUUCUCAAUCACAAUAUCAGAGCUUAGUUCUUUGAGGCAGAGAGUGGACUACCCCUUUCCUUGGAGAUACUUGAGUGUUUUAAGGGUUGCGGAUUACCCUCUCUUGGACUGAUAUUAAUUCCUUCUUUUUGUUUAGCAUAGCUAGUAGAAAAGACUGUUAACAUCGAUUUCAGAGGUUUGCCUUCUUGAUAGAGUGCGGAUUAUCCCUCUUCUCGAAAG
rnacentral:lncRNA from 1 species